GGGCGGUUUUCGAACUUUGAUCUCUGGUUCCCCUUCCAAAUUCUCAUAGUGCGUGGCUGGGAUGAGGGCGGCGCUCACGGUGAGGAAGCCCCGAGCUCCCGGGACGCAGACAGGGUGUGCAGGGCCGUAGCUCGGGCCUGUGUAUGCACCUGUGCGUGUGUGUUUGAUGCCAGGACAAGGCGGCGGUGUGCGCGGCGAGGAGGCUGCGACAGCUGUAUAGACCCCAGCUGCAGUGAAAUGGCCAUCAAAAAGGGAAGGGAUAAUCGAGUGGUGGAAUAAAAUCUGCAAACAGAAAAAGGACAGACCUGUUUUCGGAACGAGGCUUUUCGAGUUACCACCAUGACUGAAGGCUAAGAGCAACUUGCUUGCGCAUUAAAGAUCACUUGGAGAGAGAGGUCCAGUGAGCAACAACGGCCAGAAAUUUCAGGGAGACCAUCUUGAACCAUCCAGCCUCCACCAGGCCAACAGCUGACAGCUGUCACAUGAAUAUGAUCAGCAGAAGAACCACUCAGGCAAGCCAAGCCCAAAUUGCCAAGCCCCCCAAAUAAUAAGCUAAUUGUUUUUUGUUUUAAGCCAUAAACUUUUGAGGUGGUUAUAUAGCAAUAAAUAACUGAAACAGGUGUUUAACUUUCUACUCCCAUGUCUUGACCAACUUUGCAUUCCCCUCCAGGACCUUAUGGGCACAUGGGUUCCUAUCAUUUCACGGGUAUGUAGACUCAGGAAUGUGGCAUUGACUUCUGGGUGGAGUACAGAUGACUGACACCCCCACCCCGAUUCGGAGGAAUUAUUCAGGGGUGUGAUAUAACACCUACAUACAUUUAUUUAACUAGCCAAUUUGGUCUCCCCUUUUUUUGUUUUGAGACCGAGUCUUGCUCUGUCGCCCAGGCUGGAGUGCAGUGGCGUGAUCUCGACUUACUGCAACCUCCGCCUCCCAGGUUCAAGGGAUUCUCCUGCCUCAGCCUUCCGAGUAGCUGAGACUACAGGUGCCCACCACCAUGUCCGGAUAAUUUUUGUAUUUUUAGUAGACAUGGGGUUUCGCCAAGUUGGCCAGGCUGGUCUCAAACUCCUGACCUCACGUGAUCUGCCUGCCUCAGUCUCCCAAAGUGUUGGGAUUACAGGCAUGAGCCACCUCGGCCAGCCGGGUCUCCCUUUUUACAUCUGUUUUCCCCUUUCCAGUUCAAAUUCUGUAUUCUGGGAACAUCUUACUUUCUUCACCCUGAUUGAUUAGGGAAACUUCAGGGUUCUUAGGUAACUUUCUGAAGGACUGGUUUAAGAUUCCUAGAGUUGGAAAUGGGCGUCUCUCCUGUGUUAUUUCUAAAGUGUUAUCAUCCUAAUCCUUCAGAAUACUUUCUUGACUUCUUUCUGCUUGAUGAUUAAGGAAUGGUCUCAAUUCUCCAUAGCCACAUCAGACCAAAAUUCCAUUUCUUUGCCUAUGUGAAGGGUUUAUUAUUAAUUACCCUAUUAAUUUAUGUCCAAACCAGAUGUGAUUUCCUUCUUGGAGCAAUAGUUCGUGAAGAGGUUGGUUAACAGCAGUUCUGUGCCCAGGUAAAUGAGAGGCAACUGAUAAGAGGAACUCGUUGUGUAUAAAAUCUUAGGAUUCUAGAUUUAGGACCUUUAAGGCAGUAUUUGAAUUAGUGCUCUGGAAUGUCUAUGAAGAAAGUUUGGGUCUCUUCAGCCAGAAUUCAGACCAUUUCAACAUUGCAUUCCAUGUAUCAUACACAUAUCUCCUUUUAUUAUUAUUUUUUCUGCUCUCAAAGCAGAUUUCUCUCAUUGUAAAAUUAGUAGAUUCUUAAUUCAGAAGAUUGGAGAAUAUUAAAAAAAGCUUAAAGUAAAGCACUUUGAACACUUUAUUCCAAAUCACUUCACCUCAUUUGUGAAUAAGUGCAUGGAUAUAGGCUUAUAGGACUUUUUCAUUCAAAACAGGGUUAUAUAACAAUUGUUUUGAAAUCUACUUGUUUCUUCUAACAAAAUAUAGUGAACAAAUUUUCAUGUCACUAAAUUAUGAACUGUGUCAUAAUCUUUUAAUGGCUGCACUGUUCUGUUUGUAUAUGUAAGUUCUUUCCAGCUUUUUCCCAUUAUAUGCAAUGUUUUACUGCAUAUGCCUUUUCUGUGCACAUGUGAAUUGUAUAUUUUGGAUAGUCUUAGAUAUUUUGCUGAGAAUGAGGUUUUCAUAGUUAAAACCUGUUUACACAUCUAUAUCAAUUGCCCUGAUUAAGUUUGCACCAAUAUUCAACAUACUAUGAGAAUGUCUAUUCGCUACUAUAUGGUAUCAUUAGUCUUUUAUUAUUAUUUUAUUUUAUUAUUAUUAUUAUUUGAGACAGAGUCUCACUCUUGUUGCCAGGCUAGAGUGCAGUGGCAUGAUCUCGGCUUACUGCAACCCCCGCCUCCAAGGUUCCAGCAAUUCCCCCACCUCAGCCUCCCAAGUAGCUGGGACUACAAGGCGCAUGUCACCACGCAUGGCUAAUUUUUGGUUUUUAGUAGAGACGGGGUUUCACCAUGUUGGCCAGGAUGGUCUCCAUCUCCUGACCUUGUGAUCCGUCUGCCUUGGCCUCCCAAAGUGCUGGGAUUACAGGCGUGAGCCAUUGCACCUGGCCAUCAUUAGUCUUUUAAAUCCACCAAUCCAGUAGAAAUUAUAUUUAUUUAAAUGAAUUACCCAUGCACAGGUUUCAUUCAGUGUAAUAAAAUAUGGGCUUCAGAAACAAAAACCAGAACUGAAAGAAAAUUGGUUUUGUAGGUAGAAAAAUGUGAUUUAAAAAUGCAGAUAUGCCAUUUAUUUUGAGGGUGUAUAGCUCACCCCUGUAAUCCCAGCACUUUCGGAGGCUGAGACGGGUGGAACACUUGAGCCCAGGAGUUUGAGACCAGCCUGGGCAAUAUGGUGAAACCCCGUAUCUACUAAAAAUACAAAAAAUUAGCUGGGUGUGGUGGUGCACCUGUAGUCCUAGCUACUUGGGAGGCUGAGAUGGGAGGAUCACCUGAGCCCAAGGAUAUUGAGGCUGUAGUGAGCCGUGAUUGUGCCAAUGCACUCCAACCUGAGCGUUGGAGUGAGACCAUGCCUCAAAAAAACAAAAACAAAAAACUCUUAAAAUCGAGGGAAAGACCCAAAAACCCGAUAGAAAAAGUGAGUAAAAGAAAUGAACACAUGAAAUCACACACACACAGACACACACACACACAAAGAGAGAGAGAGGAAGCACAAAUUUUAAAAUUAUAGCGUGCUGGCUUUUUAAAAAAAUAAACCCAGCUGGGUGUGGUGGCUCACGCCUGUAAUCCCAGCACUUUGGGAGGCUGACAUGGGCGGAUCACGAGGUCAGGAGAUUGAGACCAUCCUGGCUAACAUGGUGAAACCCUGUCUCUACUAAAAAUACAAAAAAUUAGCUGGGCGUGGUGGAGGGCACCUGUAGUCCCAGCUACUCGGGAGGCUGAGGGAGGAGAAUGGCGUGAACCUGGGAGGUGGAGCUUGCAGUGAGCCAAGAUGGUGCCGCUGCUCCCCAGCUUGGGCGGCAGAGUGAGACUCCGUCUCAAAAAAAAAAAAUAAUAAUAAUAAUAAUAAUAAAAUAAUAAAAAAAAAACCCAUGCAACCGCCAUUACAGACAUAGAAACUUUCCAACAUCCCAGAAGGCUCCCUCAUAUCUCUUCCCAAUCAUUAUACCUCAAAGUUAACCAUUAGUUUGACCUCUAUAAUAGAAUAGUUUGGUUUGGUUUUGAACUUCAUAUAGGUGGAAUCAUAUAGUAUGUACUCUUGUGUCUGACCUCCUUUGCUCAACAUUAUUUCUAAGUAUAUAGAUACAUAUAGAUAACAUUAUAUCCAUGUUGCUGUACAUAGUAGUAGCUUGUAAUUUAACCUUUUUUUUUUUUUUUUUUUGAGACAGGGUCUCAUUCUGUACUCCAGGCUAGAGUGACAGUGACACUAUCAUAGCUCACUGCCACCUCAAACUCCUAGACUCAAACAAUCCUCCCACCUCAGCCUCAGCUCCCCAAGUAGCUAGGACUACAGGUGCAUACCACCACCACACCCAGACAAUUUAAAAAAUUUAUAGAGAUGGGGUCUCACUAUGUUCCCCGGGCUGAUCUUGAAUUCCUGGCCUCAAGUGAUCCCCCUGUCUCUCAGCCUCUGAAAGUGCUGGGAUGACAAGUGUGAGCCAUAGCACCCACCCUUUAUCAUGUAAUUAUUUUGUUACUUCCCUCUUGUUCACUCUCUCUACAUAUAUCUGGUUGUAUGUCUUAAGUCUUAUACUACUAGAAAUUAGGAGUUAGGUUGAUCAGUAUAUACAAAGUUUCAGUUAUAUGAGAGGAAUAAGUUUUGGUGUUCUGUUGUGUAACAUGAUGACUAUAGUUAAUAAUAUUAAACAUAUGAACUGGGGGGGAACAAAUCAGUCUAUAACAAUUCCCAAUUAAAAAAAAAAAAAAGAAAACUUGGCCAGGUGCAGUGGCUCACACCUUGUAAUCUCAGCACUUUGGGAGGACAAGGUGGGCCAAUCGCUUGAGCCCAGGAGUUCAAGACCAGGCUGGGCAACAUGGUGAAACUCCAUUUCUACAAAAAAAUACAAAAAAUUAGCUGGGUGUGGUUGUGUGCCUGUAGUCCCAGAUACUUGGGAGGCUGAGGUGGGAGAAUCACUUGAGCCCUGGAAGUCAAGGCUGUAGUGAGCCGUGAUUGCACCACUGCACUCCAGCCUGGGCAUCAGCGUGAGACCUUGUCUCAAAGAAACAAAACUCCUCUUAAUGUCAAGGGAAAGACCCAAAAACCUGACAGAAAAGAUGGGUAAGAGAAAUUAACAAUUCACAAAAAAUAUGUAAAAGGGACCCUUAAAUGUGUAAAAAGAGAAAUACAAAUUAAAAUAAUAUGGAGACAGGCCAGGUGAGGUGGCUUACACCUGUAAUCCCAGUGCUUUGGGAGCCUGAGGUGGAAGGAUUGCUUGAGGCCAGGAGGUUGAGAUUACAGUGAGCUAUGAUUGCACCACUGCACUCUAGCCUGGACAACAAGCAAGACCCUGUCUCUUGGCAGGGGGAGAGGGGGAAUACUGAGACCAUUUUUAACCUAUCAAGAUGACAAAAAUUAAAAAAUAUAACAAUGUAUUCUGUUGGUGAGACAGGAUAUAGUCGGCUGACUGAUGACCCUGCAAAAAGAUAUGUCCAUGUCCUAAUCUCUGGAAACUGUGAAUGUUACUUAAUUUGGAAAGAGGGUCUUUGCAGAUGAAAUUAAAUUAAGAAGUUUGAGAUGAGUAGUUCAUCCUGGAUUGUCUGGGUGGGUUGGGUCCUAAAUCCAGUGACAAGCAACCUUAAAAGAGACACAAGGAGACUGGCAGACAGAGGAAGAAGAGGCAGCAAUGUGACCCCGGAGGUGGAAAUCUCAGUGAUGGGGCCAGGAAUGUCAAGGAAUGGUCAAGGAAUGGCUACAGCCACCAGAAAAAGAGGCAAAGUGAGGCUUCUCCCCUAGAAUCUCUAGGAGCGCUCCAGCCCUGCUGAUGUCUAGAUUUUUGGAGUUCUGGCCUCCAGAAUGUGAGAGAGUAAACUAUUGUUUAAAGCUACCAAGUUUGUGGUAACUUGUUAGAGCAGCCACAGGAAUGAAUGUACAGGGAAUCAGGCAGUCUCAUACACUGAUGGUGGGAAAACAAACCGGCACAACCCUUAUGGUGGGAAAUUUGACAACAUGUACAAAAACUACCUACACAUUUCCCUUGUGACCCAGCCAUUCCACUGUUAGGAAUCUGCCCUGAAGAUACAACUCCACCUAUUAAAAAAUACAGCCAUUAGAAUGGAUGAUGUUUACCGCUACUUGCUGACAAAGAAAAAUGUUCACUUGUGUUAAAUGAGAAAGACAGGUCUCAGAACAGCAACAAUGUUCUAGACGAUUCUGUUUUUUAAUACUCAGUAUAUGUAGAGGAGAUUAAAGGGAUUUAUCGUGAGAUGCUCAUAGGGGGCAACUGUUAUUUCAGAUUUCUUUUUUAAAAUUUUUAAUUGACAAGUAAUAAUUGUAUAUAUUUGUACAACAAUUGUAUGUAUUGUAUGUACAAUUGUAUAUUGAUGUAUAUAUUUGUACAAUAAUUGUAUAAUUUAUAUGGUACAAUGUGAUAUUUGUAUGCAUCAAUACAUGAUGGAAUGAUCAAAUCAGGCUGGUUAGCAUAUCCGUUACCUCAAAUAUUUACCAUUUCUUUGUGGUAAGAACAUAUAAAAUCCUAUCUUUUAGCUAUUUUGAAAUAUACAAUACAGUAACUAUAGUCACUGUGUUGGACAAAAGAACAGCAGAAUGUAUUCUUCCUAUCUAAACAAAACUUUGUACCUGUUAACCAGCAUUUCCCCUUUCCCCAUCCACCACAUCCCCACCCCCCAACCUUUGGUAACCACCCUCCUACUCUCUACUUCUAAGAGUUCAACUUUUUAGAUUCCACAUGUAAGUGAGAUCAUACAGUAUUUGUCUCUCUGUGUCUGGCUUAUUUCACUUAACAUAAUAUCCUCUAGGUAUACCCAUGUUGUUGCAAAUGACAGAAUUUCAUGUUUAAGGCUGAAUAGUAUUCCACUGUGUAUAUAUCCUCCAUUUAAAAAAUCCAUUCAUCCAUUGAUGGACACUUAGCUUGUUUCCAUAUCUUAGUUAUUGUGAAUAAUGCUACAGUUAACAUGGGAGUGCAGACAUCUUUGACAUACUGAUGUCAAUUCCUUGUGGGGUUGCUGGCUCAUAUGGUAAUUCUAUUUUUUGUUUUUUGAGGAAGCUCUACACUGUUUCCCAAAAUGGCUGUAGUAAUUUACAGUGCUCGCAACAGUGUUCCUUUUCUCUACAUCCUCACCAACACUAACCUUUCAUCUUUGUUUGUAAUAGCAGGUGUCUAACAGGUGCACGGUAAUAUCUCACUGUGGUUUUUUUGGGGGGGAUGGAGUCUCGCGCUGUCGCCCAGGCUGGAGUGCAGUGAUGCAAUCUCGGCUCACUGCAAUCUCCACCUCCUGGGUUCAAGCGAUUCUCCUGCCUCAGCCUCCCAAGUAUCUGGGACGACAGGUGCGUACCACCAUGCCUGGUUAAUUUUUUGUAUUUUUAUUAGAGACGGGGUUUCACCAUCUUAGCCAGGAUGGUCUCGAUCUCCUGACCUCAUGAUCUGCCCAGCUCGGCCUCCCAAAGUGCUGGGAUUACAGGCGUGAGCCACCGCGCUCGGCCCCUCAUCGUGGCUUUAAUUUGCAUUUAUCUGAUGAUUAGAGAUGUUUAGCAUUUUUCGUAUAUGUGCUGGCCAUUUGUAUGUCUUCUUUUGAGAAAUGUAUACAAGUCCUUUGCCCAUUUUUAAUAGGGUUAUUUGUAUUCUUUUUUUUUUUUUGAGACAGAGUCUCACUCUGUCACCUAGGCUGGAGUGCUGGAGUGCAGUGGGCGAUCUCGGCUCACUGCAAGCUCCGCCUCCCAGGUUCACACCAUUCUCCUGCCUCAGCCUCCUGAGUAGCUGGGACUACAGGCACCCACCACUACGCCUGGCGAAUUUUUUGUAUUUUUUAGUAGAGAUGGGGUUUCACCUAACCCCAAGGAUGGUCUCAAUCUCCUGACCUCAUGAUCCACCCACCUUGGCCUCCCAGAGUGCUGAGAUUACAGGCGUGAGCCACCGCACCCGGCCAGUUAUUUGUAUUCUUGUUAUUAAGAAGUGUGAGUUCCUUUUACAUUUUGAAUAUUAGCCCCUUAUCCAAUAUAUGAUUUGCAAGUAUUUUCUCCUAAUCUUUGGGUUGUCUCUUCAUCCUAUUGUUUCCUUUGCUAUGUGGAAUAGGAUUCUCUGUUUUCUUAAUUUUAAUGCUCAGUGUGUAUUUCUUUUAUAAUUAGAAACUCUAUAAGGCUAAUCCUUCCCUCCUUAAAACUGGAAGAAUUAUAGAAGGAGCUAUGGGCACACUGACACAGAGGCAUGAUGGUGAGGUGUCUUUGGGAACUCAGACUGAAGGGACCUCAGUUCUCUCCACUGGCCACUGAGGGAAAAGUUUCUCAAACAAUACCUUGAAGUUUUGACUCUUCAUAUCAGCUGAGCAUUUAUCUGCAAUGGCUUCCCUCUUCUUUGAGCCACCUUAACACAUUACUCUCCACACAUUCACGGCUAUCUCCUUUUCUUCAAUGGGGAAAUCACAUCUGGCUUAGAGAUAAAAGGUCCUGUAUAUAGGAAAAGAAAUUGGACUUAGGCCUGUUGUGGUGAUGUCAAUUCAGGGAGAGGAAAAUAUGAGACAGAGGAAGAUAAAGUCACUUUAGGUGUCAAGAAAAUGAAGCCUCAAUAAUAAAAACACAGUUGAGUGUUUGCAGCUAUAAAAAUGUCAGAUCAGUUCUUCCAAGGCUCUCAAGAGACUCACAAUGAAAGAAAAUACUCCCAGCAAGCAGAUUAUAAAUAAUAAAGGAAAAUAUUCUUUAAAAA
rnacentral:lncRNA from 10 species